ensembl:lncRNA
CGGGGCCUGGAGCCUGGGGCUCGCUCGGGCCACUUUGGAGGUGGGGUGCCCCCGGCCUCUCGGCCUGGGGCUCGGUCACUCAGGCACAACUGGCUGCCGGCGGAGCUCACGGGCGCGUCACUGCAACUCCCCCUGGCUUCUGCUCCGCAGCUGCUGAGUGAGCCCUCAUCUGGGACUCUCCUCAGCUCUUACUGGGACAGUGGCGCGGCUGCCCCUCUGUUGGUCUUCCUUGGUCUCUUGUGUUCUGGGGGCCUCUGGAUGUCUGGAGUUUUGAUCUCCUCCAUACCUGCUUCAUGCCCUGGAGGACGGGGCUGUGGCUCCCCACGCUCCCUAGCAGAUCGUUACAAACCUUUGGAAUGCAAGCAUGCUGAUCCACACAGGUAUGCACACAGGUGUACACGCGGGUGUUCACAGACGCGGACUACAGCUUUCUUGGCUGCUGCCUCAAAGCACAUUGUGCGCUGUCUAUCUUGCGUGCUGCACAAUAUCGUUUAUUAUUUAGUAUCUACUGAUAUUUACUGCUAGCUAGUUUAUUGUGAUGGUGCCAAUUUUUUUUUUACUAUGUUGCUCUUUGUUGUUUGCUUUCUCUUCUGUUUUUUUUUCUCCAUACAGGUGACCCAGGUGUUUUGUUUUUUUUUGUUUGUUUGUUUUUUUCUUUCUUCCCCCCCUUCUCACCGUCUCUUCUCCCCUUUGGUUUUCUUUCUCUCCCUCUCUUUCUUUCAUUCUUUCUCCCUGUCCUAUCCCCCAGUCAUGUCUGUCCCGUUUGUAGCAACUGAAAAUAAAAUAAAUUCAUAAUUAUAAUAAAAGUCAAUCAAAUGGACCAAUAUGGCAAGGCCAUGAUGAUCCACUUGGUAAAAUAAAUCCGCUUGGCAUCUUUCUUGGCCUUAAGACAACAAUUCUGAUGGCUAAAGAUCCAAACGGGACACAAAAAAAAAAAAAAAGAAAAAGAAAAAGAAGUUAUGACCUGCUGUCUAUCUGUGUCAGAUAUAAGCCAAGUUUAGCUGUAGUUUGUUUUCGUUGUGCUGACUUUUUACAGUCUGUCAUGGUCCUGGGCCAUGUGGGCCCAGUAUUCUUAGUUUCUUAUAUUUUUGUAUUUCGUUCCUUAUUUAGGCCAUGUUUCCUAAGUUGUCCUGUUGUGUUGUUCCUUAUUUGACUUCCCCUUGUGACUUUUAUCCCCUGUGUGCCCCUCUAUGUAUCUGUGAGCCCUCAUCUCCCCUCCUUGUUUCAUUCCAUGUUUCCCCAGCCCACUAUGCCCAUGCUCUCUCUCUCCUCCUGUUUGCACCUGUGUACUUCCUGUUUUACUUUGACAGUCUCC